rnacentral:tRNA from 1 species
GCGGGGGUUCCCGAGCCAGGUCAAAGGGGCAGGACUGAGGCUCCUGUGGGGAAGCCCUGCGUGGGUUCAAAUCCCACCCCCCGCACCA